UAUAAUUUUGUCAUUUAAUAUAAACAACUAAAUAAAUUGAAACGAGAGAUGUCCAUGUAUUCUUUAACAUUAUUCGUUUCCUCUACAAUUCACUGGAACUUAUAUGCUAGACAUCUAGAAAACAUACAUGAAAUAGUCUAAUAUUUUUCAAACUUAAUUUUAUUAAGUGAUAUUCAGCUCUCAUAAUUUUUUAACAUCUUUUUUUUGAUCACCUUGCUCAAUGAUUGCUCUUCAUCACGCCCUGCUAAUAACCGCAAAUAUUUAAGGAAAAUGUCAGGGGAAUGUUAAGUACUAAAGUAUCUUUCAGUGAUUAAUCAACUCGCCAGAGAUUUAUCAAAAUGAUUAUACGAAGUAUUCAUCGGGAAAAGGAGAGAGACCGAUAGGUCACUGGACAACAAUAGAGGGCUAUCAAGAUAUCUAGAUUCAGUCGGCAGAUCUUCAAAAUAUUCCACUUCUGUUGAUGUUCUAAGAAGCAUCAUCUGGCCUGGAUACUCGACUGUUAAGCCAAUCUAUUGGGGUGUACCAUCUUCAGGGAAAGGGUUUUAGUGCACUGGACAGUUGAGAAAUUGGUUUUUUCUUUGUCAAAUUGGGUUCCCUGUUUGGCCAACUUUUCAGUGAAGGAUGAUAUAUGUAUUUUGUUGAAAGAAUGCUGGAUGGAACUCAAGGAAUACUGGAUAGAACUCAAGGAAUGCUGGAUGAAGCUGAAGGGAUGCUUGGUUGACGUUUGUAUCAGGUCUUAAUUUUAUGUAUUCAGGUCUGGACAUUAUUGUUGGGAUACCAUGGACAUAAUUCAACUUAUGCACAAAGGGAGUAUAUGAUGGCAGUCAAGAAAAUAGAGUACGAGGCUAUUAACUUGCAGUGGCAGGUAUCUAGCUAAAUAUGAGGGUGCUUGGGCAUUUACUAAUGCUCUGGUAUUUUAACACAUGGUACUCAUGGUUGUACAAUUGUUUUUUGAACAAGAGAGAGAGCCAAGAAAAGCCAAUUAUCCUGAUCAGACUCUAGGUUUCAGAUUUAUCAAAAUUCAAACAAUUUUACUGUUAAAAGCCAUGGAAGAUUGUUCAGGUUCA